rnacentral:rRNA from 1 species
CGUAGGCGGAUAGUAAAAAAUUUAGUAAAAGACUGAGGAUGACCCUCUUAAAGCUAAGUUCACUAACUAUUUGAGUUCUAAAGGCGAUUUAUUGAAUUCCUUAAGUAAGGGUAAAAUUGUUGAUAUUGGAAGACAUUCGAAGGCGGAAGCGGUAAUCGAUUUAGAUCUGACGCUAGGUACUAAAGUAUGGGUAUGAAGAGGAUUAGAGACCUUGUAGUCCAUACCUUAAACAAUGAGUGUUCAACGUCCUCUUUUGGUUUUCUUUGUGUAAGUUUUAUCAAAGGUAUAGUGGUUAUAUUCACCAAUACCAAAAAAUAUUAGAUAACUUACAAUACAUAAAACUACACUUGAGGGGGUUUGAAGCUAACGCGUGAAACACCGCCUGGGGACUGUGGCCGCAAGGUUAAACUCAAAGGAAUUGACGGAGACUUGUACAAGG